CCCGGGAUACUAGACAUUCGAGUUCCUGGACCCAGAGAUGACACUCUUUCCUCCAGCAGUCCCAACAGUCAGAGGGGCUGAUUCUUUGCUUUGUGAGGCAAUUACUCUGGAGACAGCAUAAUGAAUGCGCAAGUCCCCAGGGACUUGCGGGGGUGGGGUCAGUCGGCCAGUAGGAGUAAGGGAGGGUCAACUAGGCUGCCUGGAGGGAGGAGGCUUAGAAAAAGAGUCCAAAUUGUCCAGACAAACUGGGUGGUGUUAGGAAUCCUUUCAGCACAGGAACAGAUUCUGAGGGAACUAGGUAGGACUUGAAGCCGUCAGGGGUGGCAGUGGAGCCAGAGGCCCCACCUGCGGGAGAAACGAGAAGAUCCUGUCUCAGGAACAGGACUGUGGAGUGCUCCAGAUUCUCAAGGAGACGCUGCGCAGGCUGCUGUAUCUGGCCCAAGAACCAGGUAUUAGCCGCAGCAGGACUGGGCCAGGAGGAAAGCCCCCAUGUGACCUCUGGACUGUCCCCUGGAGGCACCUGUCAUGACUCAGCCUCCCCAGCAACCACAGCAACAGCCACUGAGAUAAGUACCUGUACUGUCCAGUUUUUCAUUCUUCUUUUUUUUUCUGGU